AAAAGUGCCACCUUCUGGUUGAACAUGAGACCCAAAAACUGAAAGCCUUGGAGGAAAACUACAACCUGACCCUCAAGGAUUGGCGAGAUAAACUUAGGCCAAGAAAAAAGGCACUAGAAGAUGAACUGAAUCAGAAAAAGCGAGAACAAGAUAUGUUUUUCAAACUCAGUGAAGAAACCAAUGGUCUGUCUCCUAUGUCACCAAACAAGCCUGCUAAAUUUGUCCCAUUCAGCUCCGCAGAGGCUUCAUAAUACUUGGGGUUAAGAAGGCAAGGCUUGGUAAUUCUUGCCUUUGCCUGUUGGAGAGAAAUCAGCAGACGGGGCUCCUUCCUCUCUUUGCCAACUCUGAUCAGAGUUUCCUGUUCUGUUGUGUGCCAGAUAGUCAAUGUGGAUCAACCUGAUCCACUAGCAAUGAGGCAGGUUCACAUAUAGGUUAGAAGCAAGCUGUGGCAAGCUUCAAGAGGACCAGCUGAUGGGGUCAACUAUAGAACCUACAUUGCUUGCUGAAUCCUUCCCCAGCCAGUUUUACCAUUUCCUAAAGGGACAGUGGAAAGGAUCUAAGAGAAGAUUAAUUACAGUAUUGGUUUAAUUUUCCAAGUUAGCUUUCCUGUGUGUCUGAGCUUAAUGAGUAGGUGGUUUUACUCAAGAGUAGAACUUUGAGACUCAAUAGUAGAUGAUGUUUACCUGUGAUAGCCUUUAAGAUGACAGUAAACCAUCACCACCCUUGUGAAUUAAGCAAAAGACUGUUUUUUUGUUCUGUGCUUCCUUUUUGGAAUUGAUCAGCAUCUUCCAAACAGCUUGCAACAUAAUUUGCAUUUUUUUUCUUUGAUAUAGAAUAGCCUGACAUUUAAAAGCAAAGCAGUCUUAAAACAAACAGGGUAGCCAGAGGAAUGAAUUUCUAUCCUGGUGAAGGUUGAGUGGAGACUGUGGAAAAUGCUUCCAAUCUGGGCUGUGUUUAAAUAAACAGACUUGCCCAAGCUAAAUGGUUGUAAAUGUACAGUAAGGAAGAAUGAUCUUUCUCUGCUUUGUCAAUCACCUGUGAUCCCAGUAGCUUCUCUUUUCAGAUGCAGCAUUGCACCUUUGAUUUACCUGUGUGCUAGUGAACCAGAAUUCCCUUUCUUUCCACAGUCAAGGAUGAAUCCUCUGCUGAAUUAAUGGAAAGAGCCUAGUGUUUAUUCCUUAGGUAAAUUAAAGAGGAGCAACCCCAGAUGUCUAUGACAACAAAUGUGUAGCUGGAUUAAGAUUGAAGGCACUUUGCUUUGUAUCAAAUUGUAUAUGAUUUUCAAGUUUUCACAGAGCAGCAAAUGCUAGCUUAGGGAUUUUUCUCCUGCUAAAUGAUUGGGUGUGCUCAGAAUUGAAAACACGAUUUUGAAAUAAAGCAAUGCUGGAUUGCUAUGAGUAAUUCCAGCCUUUGCAGUUUUUUCUGAAUCAAUAGAAAGGGCCACCUAAGAGAAGCCACAGGUUGUAGAAUAUAUUAUUAUAUAUUUGAAAUGCUAAAGCAGUAUUUCAGUAUUUCAAACUUUUUUCUACAAAUGCUAUUUUUGACCAAAGAGAUCUCUUUUCUUUCCCUCCCACAUGUUUCGAUUUAUUUAAUAUACAUUCCCAAAGGUUUUGUCCUCUUUGCUAGUUUGCAUUUCCCUAUGAGUUAUAUCUAAAUUGUUGUUUUCUCAUUGAUGAAGUAUAAUUCACACAAAUUUCAAUUUGAGCAACCAGCUAUAUGCGCCAAGUGCAUUGUUUGGUACUUGUUUAGCUAUAAGUCCAAACAGAAAGCUGAUACAAUUCCAUUUUCACCAUCUCAGAACAGUGCACAUCUAUGGAGAGAACAUGGUCCAGUGUUCCUUUUGGUGAUCAGUAUAGGGUUGUUCUAAGCACAGCUCGGCGCCCUCUCAGUAGGAAAAAAUGGUUUUGUUUUCUUAUGCACUGUUCUUUGGAGCACUGCUGCUAAUGACCUGGUUUCUGUGCUGACAGCUAAUUUGUUGGAAUGUCAAUUGAAGUUUAGUAAACUAGUGGCUGCUGACAGAGCCAGCCAUAAUGUGUCAAGGAUUAUAUUAAAGGUGGCAGGGUAAAAAUACAAUCUGAAAGAAAUGUCUGCAAAAAGAAUACUGGAAAUUAGACGUUUGUAAGGAGUGUGUGUGUGUGUGUUCACAAAGCACUUUAAAUCCCUCUUCAAACUGUUUGGGAUCUUUGUGUGUUAAGAUAAGGUGUGAGGAGAGAGAGAGAGAGAGAGAAAAGGGAACGAUGCCUGCACAUGAAUGUUGAAAGUAAAGGCAAAUUUUCUUUAAACGAAGAAUGAUGGAUGCCUUGUGUCUUGGGUGCAUUGGUUUGUAUGCACAUUCCUGCUUUUUCCUCUCUUGGCUAAGAAAAAGCAAAUAAUGGCAUACACUCACAAUUGCUUUUUCUCUCUUCCCUUCCCUUGCCAAACUGAUCCUAAUUGUUCCCUAAGGGACUGGAACUUCCCUCUGUGCAAUAUGCACUUUCCAGUUUUUCCAGGAAGGUUAUUGAAAGAAAAAAGUAUCUUUUCCCUUCUUGAAACACUUGUUAACCUAUGGGGGAAAUUUGGGGGGGGGGGAGGUUCAUCGGGAGAGGGUGGGGAGAGAGAAGGUAUUUUGUAUUUUUAUAGGGGUUUUUUGAAAAAAAAUCUCACGGAUUUUCUCUCUUUUGGUUACCACGAUGAUGUAAAUAAUCUAAUAAAAUAUGAACCACUAAGCCUUUGCAUUGCGAUCCAGAAUUGCAUUCCUGCUGUGUGUCUCUUUAGGUCAGCAGUGCUGAGCUGUAUUUAAACAUGAUCUUGGCUUGGCUACAGUGGAAUUGUGUUUCAGGAUUCUGUUGAUUGGUAUUAAAAAAAAAAAAAACUAAGUCCACAGCUUGCUGGCCCUGUACAAAGUGUUUUUUUAAAAUAUAGAUGGUCUUACUUGAAAAUAUCUGUACUGUAUUGGAAUGUGUUAAUAUUAAACUAUUAAUUCUUGAAGCAAA